rnacentral:tRNA from 1 species
AUAUCAAUAGUCGAAAUGGUAAGACGCCCGCAUGGAAUUUGGGGAGAUUCAGGUUCGAACCCUGACUAAGAUG